rnacentral:rRNA from 1 species
GCUCAGGACGAACGCUGGCGGCGUGCUUAACACAUGCAAGUCGAGCGGUAAGGCCCUUCGGGGUACACGAGCGGCGAACGGGUGAGUAACACGUGGGUGAUCUGCCUCGUACUCUGGGAUAAGCCUGGGAAACUGGGUCUAAUACCGGAUAUGACCACGAAUCGCAUGGUUUGUGGUGGAAAGAUUUAUCGGUGCGAGAUGGGCCCGCGGCCUAUCAGCUUGUUGGUGGGGUAAUGGCCUACCAAGGCGACGACGGGUAGCCGGCCUGAGAGGGCGACCGGCCACACUGGGACUGAGACACGGCCCAGACUCCUACGGGAGGCAGCAGUGGGGAAUAUUGCACAAUGGGCGGAAGCCUGAUGCAGCGACGCCGCGUGCGGGAUGACGGCCUUCGGGUUGUAAACCGCUUUCGACAGGGACGAAGCGUGAGUGACGG